AUGGACAAACCACAAUUUCCUACUCCUUUGGCUCCUGUCCACAGGCCUCUCUACCUGAGUAAUGGGAGUCCAUUGCAAAGCCCUCUAUACCAUUAUAGUGACAAAAGCCCUACAGAGUCUUGGAAAAUACUGCUUUUGUCCUGUAGUGAAGAUUACAUUUUGCAGAAAGUGCUCUGGGUAAUGGUGGUUCGGAGAUGUUGGCUCUUCUUCUUAAGCUAGUUGCCCUUAUUUUCCAAGUUUCCAUUUAGCACAGAUGUUCUAUAAAGAAUUAUAAGAGUCCCUGGAGUUCUUGCCAAGAAGAUGCUGUUGAGGUCUACAUUAUCUACUACUCAUUGAUUGCUGAAAAUAUAAUCAUCAACUCAAUCAGUAAAUUUCAUUAAAAACCAAACAGAUGAAACAAUUUGACUAACUCUUCUUUGAGCUACAGAAGAAAAAGAACAUCUAUUAGAAAAAUAAACAGCAAUCAUGAAUAAAGUAUCUUGUUUUU
rnacentral:lncRNA from 1 species